UGCUGCCAAACUAGGCCUUCCACUUUCAGUGUAGUGUCAAAAACGUUCUUAUAUUGUGGGACGGAGGGAGUACAACAUAAGUUCAACACAACAACCAUAAGCUAAGCCCAUUGCUGAAAACAUGGGAAUGCUCAUUAAACCAAAUGUACCAGCACCAAACUACAGAUAAUGAGUUAUAUAAACCUAUUUCCAGAAACAUAAUAUGGGAUAAUUACAUUUUUUAAUUUACAGUUGAAGAUCCCUACACAUACUCCACGAUAUGUGCAAUGCACUGAUUGGGAUGAAAACCUGCAGAUUCAGAUGUAGAAUAGUUUUUGUUUAGCCGAGCAAUGAUAUAGGUCAGUUGACAACUCUCCUUUUGAUAAAUUUAAAGAAAGCUUCGCUUCAGCAACUAAUACCUCAGAUGGCUUCAAGAACUUACACUUCCCAUAAGUUAAUUGCAUGAAUUCAGUGGAAUUCUUUGGGCUUGCUUCUCGAGGUUUUUCCACAUUUCAUCUGCAGAUGUAAAACAUGGUAAGAAACUCGAAUAAUCUUAUCAGCUAAUGAAGAUAAUCAAUGAAAGGGGCCACUUAGGUCAUGGAUAUUUGAGAAUACACAGGAAACAAAAAGCAUAUCCAUUAUUGUGUGGUAAAUACAAAUAUUCUAAACAUCAUACCUGAUUCUGAUGCUAAAUUUAGUAAGAGCACUUCAAAAAAAAAAGAUUGUAAUAAGGAGUAAAGAAUAUAUUAUUCUCUUCGUUCUUCCUUGAAAUAUUAAACAAGCUCUCAUUAACUAAUUGGCAUAAUCCCAAUUGUAAGAACACUAAAAAGCUACUCCAUCCCC
rnacentral:lncRNA from 1 species